GUAGGGAAUAUUGGACAAUGGGCGCAAGCCUGAUCCAGCCAUGCCGCGUGAGUGAUGAAGGCCUUCGGGUUGUAAAGCUCUUUAGUCCACGAAUAUAAUGACUGUAGUGGAAGAAUAAGCCCCGGCUAACUUCGUGCCAGCAGCCGCGGUAAUACGAAGGGGGCGAGCGUUAUUCGGAAUCACUGGGCGUAAAGCGUGCGUAGGCUGUUUUGUAAGUCAGAAGUGAAAGCCCAGGGCUUAACCCUGGAAUUGCUUUUGAAACUACAAGACUCGAAUUCGGGAGAGGAUAGCGGAAUUGUCAGUGUAGCAGUGAAAUGCGUAGAUAUUGACAGGAACACCAGUGGCGCAAGCGGCUAUCUGGACCGAUAUUGACGCUGAGGCACGAAAGCGUGGGGAGCAAACAGGAUUAGAAACCCGAGUAGUCC
rnacentral:rRNA from 1 species